ensembl:ncRNA lncRNA:CR44538 long non-coding RNA:CR44538
ACUUAUCUUAUGCUUACUCCCAGGACAUGGAUUCUAGCCAAAUGCAUUCAUGGUUUUUCUCCCAGUGCAUUUGCAACCGCCUUUGUCCGCCUUCAGCCCUCAUUUCGCAUUCAAUAAGCGAACGCAUCCAUCCAUCGAACGAAAGCCAAGACAACCGAGGCAAUUUCAAUACAAGCGAACAAAAUCAACGGCAACAAGAAAUGGUUGGGCUUAAUUGUGUCGCAGUGCAGCGAAUGAAUGACUGAAUGACGGAGCGAUUGAGUGUCCGACUGCAGAGAGAACUCGAACUUGCGGGCUUUCAAUUAGCGAAAGUCCGAUAUGCAUAUGAAGCUGGUUCUGCCCAAAUCGAAGUGGGAGAAAUGGGGAAAAAAAACGUCAGACAAACGGAAAGAAAGAAAGAGCUGUCAACGGCGGCAAUGGGAUCGUUAAAACGACAUUUAAUAAGCUGUUUAUGCCUAUUUUUACUUUCAGGUUAGCGGCUUCUACUUCUUCUCCAGGGCCAAUAACCAAAUGACGAGGCCUAUGCAAAGUUGGCCAUGAGACAAGUGGUACACCGAAAAAAAGUUAAUGUUAUUAUUAUAAUCGCAGAUUUUUUGAUAACUGAUUUAAGUUUCUUUAAGAAAGAAAUAAGAACGAGAGUUUUGUAAUGUAUCAAUUGAUGUUUU